rnacentral:rRNA from 1 species
UAGGGAAUCUUCGGCAAUGGACGGAAGUCUGACCGAGCAACGCCGCGUGAGUGAAGAAGGUUUUCGGAUCGUAAAGNUCUGUUGUUAGAGAAGAACGUUGGUAGGAGUGGAAAAUCUACCAAGUGACGGUAACUAACCAGAAAGGGACGGCUAACUACGUGCCAGCAGCCGCGGUAAUACGUAGGUCCCGAGCGUUGUCCGGAUUUAUUGGGCGUAAAGCGAGCGCAGGCGGUUCUUUAAGUCUGAAGUUAAAGGCAGUGGCUUAACCAUUGUACGCUUUGGAAACUGGAGGACUUGAGUGCAGAAGGGGAGAGUGGAAUUCCAUGUGUAGCGGUGAAAUGCGUAGAUAUAUGGAGGAACACCGGUGGCGAAAGCGGCUCUCUGGUCUGUAACUGACGCUGAGGCUCGAAAGCGUGGGGAGCAAACAGGAUUAGAUACCCUGGUAGUCCACGCCGUAAACGAUGAGUGCUAGGUGUUAGGCCCUUUCCGGGGCUUAGUGCCGCAGCUAACGCAUUAAGCACUCCGCCUGGGGAGUACGACCGCAAGGUUG